rnacentral:rRNA from 1 species
CCUACGGGGUGCAGCAGUGGGGAAUAUUGCACAAUGGGGGAAACCCUGAUGCAGCGACGCCGCGUGGGGGAAGAAGGAUUUCGGAAUGUAAAGCCCUAUUAGCAGGGAAGAAAAUGACGGUAUCUGAUGAAGAAGCACCGGCUAACUACGUGCCAGCAGCCGCGGUAAUACGGAGGGGGCAAGCGUUAUCCGGAUUUACUGGGCGUAAAGAGAGCGUAGACGGGAUCACAAGUCUGAAGUGAAAUGCCGGGGCUUAACCCCGGAACUGCUUUUGAAACUGUUCAUCUAGAGUGUAGGAGAGGUAGGUGGAAUUCCUGGUGUAGCGGUGAAAUGCGUAGAGAUUAGGAGGAACACCAGUUGCGAAGGCGGCUUACUGGACUGUAACUGACGUUGAUGCGCGAAAGCGUGGGGAGCAAACAGGAUUAGAUACCCUUGUAGUC